rnacentral:lncRNA from 1 species
AGGCUAGCAUACACCUGUAUUGGUGGAGCCACUGAUUUACUCCUUGUCAUUCACAUAACAUUGUGAUGAGGGAAGCAGACAUAUUGAAGGUGUGAAGUCAGCAAGGACUGUAGCAGAUCCAUCUGAGAAAACAGUACAGUAACUCGAUGGCAAGAAGAAAUGGGGGAGCAAAGACUCACUUCAUGGUCUGAUGCCCCAGCAGGAAGCAUUUAGCUGUGCUCAUGAAAAUAAAUCCAGAUGUACAGAAUGUCAAACCAAUCAUCCCCCUUUUCUUUACUCGAAACAGCCCUGUGUUUGAGUUUCUUUCCAAUGGUAUUGUCCAGGAAGAGUGAGGCCCCAGGCUCAGCUUAACACUUGCCAACCUUCCUGCAAUACAGGGGUCCUGCUCAGAGUGUGAGGUCCACUGGGCAAAAUGCCCACAUCCCUGUCUACUCUGUCAAUGCCCAUUUUACACAUUUUGACCCCAGUGCUUGGCCAGGCCUCCUAAACUCUGGGAGGA